rnacentral:rRNA from 1 species
UACAGAGGGUGCGAGCGUUAAUCGGAAUUACUGGGCGUAAAGCGCGCGUAGGCGGCUUUGCAAGUCGGGUGUGGAAUCCCCAGGCUUAACCUGGGAACUGCAUUCGGGACUGCAUUGCUAGAGUAUGGGAGAGGGAAGUGGAAUUUCAGGUGUAGCGGUGAAAUGCGUAGAUAUCUGAAGGAACAUCAGUGGCGAAAGCGACUUCCUGGACCAAUACUGACGCUCAUGUGCGAAAGCGUGGGGAGCAAACAGG